GUCGAUCUUUUUUUUCACAGUUGGAGUGCCUGGGAGAGCGGAGGCUUCGUGGCCGUUUGUCUGCCGUCGAUCAUCGGACACAAAGUAUGGCUGCGGAUCGAGAGGUGGUACCCAUGCUGACAGCGGCUAUCUGGAUUCUCGUGGCCAAUUCAGGAUAGGGGAACUGCAGCUCAACCUCCUCGAAGAGCACUGCCAGGACAAUUGAGGGCUCCUUUCGGCAGCCCUCUGCUGUGACAUGGACAUCCACUUUUUAUUUAAUUGAUUUUCAUGUUGUAUCAUUUGUGCCCUCUCUGCAUCCAUUUCAACCUGGUGAUCCUGAAAGGGGGAUCCUUCCAUCUGUGGUCCCUUCUCAAGGUUUCUCAUUUUCCCCCUGCUAGGGGUUUUUAAGUUUUUCCUUGCCCUUUUGGGAGCUUAAGAUCAGGGGAUGCUUUGAGAAUAAUUGUCAAUUUCUGUCUAUGUGAAGCCCUUUGAGACUGCUUGUGAUUUAGGGCUAUACAAAUAAACUUGACUUGACUUGACUUGA